GCUAGAGGUGUCAGAAAA
rnacentral:snRNA from 1 species